GAUCGAACCCGGUCAGGGUGC
rnacentral:miRNA from 1 species